UACGUAGGGUGCAAGCGUUAUCCGGAAUGAUUGGGCGUAAAGCGUCCGCAGGUGGCUGUGUAAGUCUGCUGUCAAAGAGCAAAGCUCAACUUUGUAAAGGCAGUGGAAACUACACGGCUAGAGUGCGUUCGGGGCAGAGGGAAUUCCUGGUGUAGCGGUGAAAUGCGUAGAGAUCAGGAAGAACACCGGUGGCGAAGGCGCUCUGCUAGGCCGCAACUGACACUGAGGGACGAAAGCUAGGGGAGCGAAUGGG
rnacentral:rRNA from 1 species